CAGUCUGGUCGUCUUUUCCAGUGGGGAAGGCGACCAGAUCUGGUCGUCUUCUCCACUAGAGAAUGCGACCAUUGGU
rnacentral:pre_miRNA from 1 species